AGCGAUCUGGAGNAAACCCAAAAAAGACAGUCUCAGUUCGGAUUGAAGGCUGAAAUUCGCCUUCAUGAAGCCGGAAUUGCUAGUAAUGGCAGGUCAGCAUACUGCCGUGAAUACGUUCCCGGGCCUUGUACACACCGCCCGUCACACCAUGAGAGUUGGGAAUACCCGAAGCCUGUGAGCUAACUUUUAGAGGCAGCAGUCGAAGGUAGAAUCAAUGAUUGGGGUGAAGUCGUAACAAGGUACC
rnacentral:rRNA from 1 species